CAGCCGCCGCGGGAAUACGAAGGGUGCAAGCGUUAAUCGGAAUUACUGGGCGUAAAGCGUGCGUAGGCGGUGAGUUAAGUCUGCUGUGAAAUCCCCGGGCUCAACCUGGGAAUGGCAGUGGACACUGGCUCGCUAGAGUGUGUCAGAGGAUGGUGGAAUUCCCGGUGUAGCGGUGAAAUGCGUAGAGAUCGGGAGGAACAUCAGUGGCGAAGGCGACUCUCUGGUCUGUAACUGACGCUGAGGAGCGAAAGCGUGGGGAGCGAACAGGAUUAGAUACCCGCGUAGUCCCUGUCUCUUAUAC
rnacentral:rRNA from 1 species